GAAAGAUGCUGAUUGGUUUGUUUUGUUGCUGGGCGUUUACUGAUUUCAGAGAGACUGAACAUCAUUGGUCCAAUCUUUAAUUGAUAACUUAAUAUUGACAGAAAUGACGUAGUUUUAAAGUUUGAUGAGCGGCGCUAAAAUGAACCGAGAGACACAAUCGACUUUUAUUCUCCUUAUUUUUACUUCCGCUUGAAGUGAAACGAGUUGGAUUUAAUCGGUGGACUUUAGUUCUUUAAAACGAGCUCCUGUUCGUCUCCAAAUGUCUGUUUUUGGACCCAUAAAUACAUUUGAACUGCAGCUAGACAGGAUAGCUAGUAAGUUGCUAAUGAGUUUACUGCCAUAAAGUAAUACAGUGCUGUUGUAAUGUCGUAAAUCUUAUAUUGAGCUUCUUAAAUCCGUGUAAAAAACGAACAUGUAAGCUUUCAAACGAGCUCCAAUAUGAGUACAUUAACGUCCCCAGUCAGCAUUCAAAUAUGAAAUAGAUUGAUUUAUUAUUGCUCCAUAGAAAUGUCGGGUCGCGUGCAACCUCCGCGCUGUAAAACAUUAAGAAACAGAUACCCUGGGGUCAAAGGUGCAGCUCCAGAGCCGUAUGUCAAAACACUUAAAACAGAUGAUGGGAUGGUCCUGCAGUGUGCUGUUCGAGGUGCUUCUCCACAACCUAAAGUAGAGUGGAAGGACAGUGCUGGAAACAUCCUUCCUGCUAAAGAACCACAGGUCACAGAAAGAGGAGGAAGCUACAACGUCAUCCUACAAGCUCCUUUAACCAAGACCGACAACUUCACCUGUGUAGUCACACAGAAGGAAAUCAACCAUCAGAUUUCUGCUGACAUAUAUUUUGGGCCUCUUAAUGGUGCAGCUCCAGAGCCGUCUGUCACAACACUUAAAACAGAUGAUGGGAUGGUCCUGCAGUGUGCUGUUCGAGGUGCUUCUCCACAACCUAAAGUAGAGUGGAAGGACAGUGCUGGAAACAUCCUUCCUGCUAAAGAACCACAGGUCACUGAAAGAGGAGGAAGCUACGACGUCAUCCUACAAGCUCCUUUGACCAAGGCUGACCACUUCCGCUGUGUUGUCACACAGGAAGAAAUCAACCAUCAGACUUAUGUUGAGACAUAUGCUGAGCUUCGUAAUGGUGAGAUUCAUCCUCGUCAUAGUUUUAUGUUAAAAUUAUUUAGUUUUUGUGUUAUUUGUUUCCAAAAGAAACGUUAACAUUUAUUCAGUCCAAACACAAAGGAAAUUGUGAUGAAGACGUCUACACAAGUUAAACAUUUUUCUUAUUCUGAGACUCCACUUGAUGACUGUAUAGAGAUAAGAGUAAAAGUGAAAGGGUCUGGAGGGAAAAACCAGAGAGAACAAACACACACAGACACAGAGCAAAGCAGCCACGUUGAUAUUUGAGCAGCGUUUGGUUGGUAGCUGCUGCUCAUUUCCCCCCCUGUUGUGUUCAUGUUGUUGUUGUGUUUCAGAGAAACUGUGCUCAUUGAGAAGUGCAGCAUGAAACUUUUAGUACUGAAACAUUUGAGCUCUGUCUCCUGAAGCAGAACUUCUGCUGCCUUUUGGAGGUUUGCAGGUUGCAAAUCAACAGUCACAUUACAUUUUUACCAACAAGCUUUUUGAUGACGAGAGGCUGAUGAGAUGAAAUACUCGCUCUUCAGAUGUGUCACUGAAUGGAUGUUCCAACACUAAAGCUAUUUUUCAGUGACAUAAAAACCCUCUUGUGAUUCCCAGCUCUUGUCACUGCCACUUGUUCACUGGCGUGCACAGACUGAAGGUCAGCCCCAACUCUGAGCCUCCUUUCUCUAUAGUUUGUGGCUACUUUCCAGUUGAGAUGGCAGCGUGCNNNNNNNNNNNNNNNNNNNNGGUCACAGAAAGAGGAGGAAGCUACAACGUCAUCCUACAAGCUCCUUUAACCAAGACCGACAACUUCACCUGUGUAGUCACACAGAAGGAAAUCAACCAUCAGAUUUCUGCUGACAUAUAUGCUCUUAAUGGUGAGAUUCUUCCAAGUUCUAUUUUUAUAUUCAAAUAAUUUUUGUAAAUGUUCUUCAGACUGAACGCAAAGAAAAAUGUGAUGAAGACGUCUACACAAGUUGAACAUUUUUUAAACUGGCUGUUAAAUUCACUCUUAUUCUGAGACUCCACUUCAUUAAUAUACAGAGAUAAAAGGAAGAAUGAGAGGGUCUGGAGGGAAAUAACAGAAAUAACUCACACACACACCCACACACCCACACACACACACACACACACACACACACACACACACACACACACACAGAGCCGACCCACCACCAAGAAGCACAUAAUGAUUUUAAUCUGGACUUCACUGGACAGCAGUCAGUGGAGGAAGAACAACUCACAUUAUUAACUUCAGUAAAAGUAGUGAAACCACAGAGUAAAAAUACUCUGUUACAAGUUAAAGUCCACUUGAGUAAAAUCAGUGUCUCACUGCAUGGUACGGCUCGGCUCGGCUCGGCUCAGCCACUCAACAGUAAAUGAUUACUGUGUGUCUGAAAUGGAGCAGCCACGUUGAUAUUUGAGCAGCGUUUGGUUGGUAGCUGCUGCUCAUUUCCCCCCCUGUUGUGUUCAUGUUGUUGUUGUGUUUCAGAGAAACUGUGCUCAUUGAGAAGUGCAGCAUGAAACUUUUAGUACUGAAACAUUUGAGCUCUGUCUCCUGAAGCAGAACUUCUGCUGCCUUUUGGAGGUUUGCAGGUUGCACAUCAACAGUCACAUUACAUUUUUACCAACAAGCUUUUUGAUGACGAGAGGCUGAUGAGAUGAAAUACUCGCUCUUCAGAUGUGUCACUGAAUGGAUGUUCCAACACUAAAGCUAUUUUUCAGUGACAUAAAAACCCUCUUGUGAUUCCCAGCUCUUGUCACUGC
rnacentral:lncRNA from 15 species